rnacentral:piRNA from 1 species
UCCUGCACAAAAUGCUCACUAAUAAGGAAA